CACUGACACACACAUGCUCACUGACACACAUAUGGUCACUACAGACAAGCUCACGAUCACACUCAUGCCUACUACAGACAAGCUCACUGUACACACAUGCUCACCACAGACAGGCUCCGACACACCCAUGCUCCUUACAGACAAGCUCACACACACACACACACACAUAUGAUCCCUACAGACAAGCUCACUCACUAGCAGGCACACACACAAACUCACUAGCAGGCACACACACACACACACAGAGGCUCCCUCACUAGCAGAUGCGCGC